rnacentral:rRNA from 1 species
CUUUCUUGAUUCGGUGGGUGGUGGUGCAUGGCCGUUCUUAGUUGGUGGAGCGAUUUGUCUGGUUAAUUCCGAUUAACGAACGAGACUCUAGCCUGCUAACUAGGCGAUUUCCGGUACCCACAAUAGUGUUACCGGCGAUUCAAUUUCUUCUUAGAGGGACAGGCGGCUCCUAGCCGCACGAGACUGAGCAAUAACAGGUCUGUGAUGCCCUUAGAUGUCCUGGGCCGCACGCGCGC